GCGAACCUUACUGUAUGUUCUCAGGUCCCAAUCACUAAGCCUAGGCCUUGACAAGAUGAAGUGGGCGAGCCCCACUUAGCAUGCUCUGGACUGCUGUGCUGGAGAAAUGACAGGGUCUUAACACCCCCAAGCAUUCAUAAUCACCUCAGAGACAGCAUGUAAGCUCUCAGCUGCAGUUCCAGUGCCAUGCCUGCCCGCGUGCUGCCAUGGUUGCCACCAGGACGGUCGUGGACUCAUCCCUCUGAAACUGAGUUCACCAUCUAGUCCUAGAACUGGCGGGGAUCUCAGGUCUAACCACCAUCUGGCCUCCUUCUUUUGUCAGGGUCUCACUUUGCAGCCCUGGCUAGCCCAGAACUCACAGAGGUCUACCAGCUUCUUCAUCCUCCAUGCUGGGGUUCAAGGAGAGCACCAGAGGGGAACAGAACGCACAGCUGAUUAAAAAUAGCUGCUACGGACUAUUCCUUCCAUUCUUACUGGUUUAUGGUUUUGCCAAAAGAAGAAAAACAGCCUGGAUUUGACCCUGAAGGAAAACAGCAAGCGUUCCUUCCGCCUAUUGAUCCGAUUUCAUUUCCCCUCAAGUGAUCUCACUGA